AUUGAACGCUGGCGGCAGGCCUAACACAUGCAAGUCGAGCGGUAGAGAGAAGCUUGCUUCUCUUGAGAGCGGCGGACGGGUGAGUAAUGCCUAGGAAUCUGCCUGGUAGUGGGGGAUAACGUUCGGAAACGGACGCUAAUACCGCAUACGUCCUACGGGAGAAAGCAGGGGACCUUCGGGCCUUGCGCUAUCAGAUGAGCCUAGGUCGGAUUAGCUAGUUGGUGAGGUAAUGGCUCACCAAGGCGACGAUCCGUAACUGGUCUGAGAGGAUGAUCAGUCACACUGGAACUGAGACACGGUCCAGACUCCUACGGGAGGCAGCAGUGGGGAAUAUUGGACAAUGGGCGAAAGCCUGAUCCAGCCAUGCCGCGUGUGUGAAGAAGGUCUUCGGAUUGUAAAGCACUUUAAGUUGGGAGGAAGGGUUGUAGAUUAAUACUCUGCAAUUUUGACGUUACCGACAGAAUAAGCACCGGCUAACUCUGUGCCAGCAGCCGCGGUAAUACAGAGGGUGCAAGCGUUAAUCGGAAUUACUGGGCGUAAAGCGCGCGUAAGUGGUUUGUUAAAUUGGAUGGGAAAACCCCCGGGCUCCCCCUGGGAACGGGUUUUAACUGGGUGACUAAAGUUGUGAAGGGUUGUGGCAUAACCCGUUAGGGUUAAAGAGCUGACCCAAAAGGGCCCCCUGGGGAGAAGAAAAACCUUUUACUAAUGUUAAGAUGGGGGUUGGAAGGCCCGGGAGGAAUAAUUAAUACUAGAGCUACAGUAUACUAAGGAGAAAUGAUAUGUGGGUAUGAAGGAGAGAACACACCUCUCCGGGACGCAAUAAACACAACAAUCACAUUUUUACCAGAGUGCGAUACCAACCUG
rnacentral:rRNA from 1 species